CGUGCGCUCAGUGCCGUUUCCGCCCGGCCUGCUGAGGAGGAGCUGUUGGCUGUUCGCUGGUGCCGCGGAGGGGGAGGGGCCGUGGCUGCUGCUCUGUGGAGCUAAGUUCUCGGUCCCGCCUGCCGCCUAGGAAACACCGUGGCGCCCAGCAGGGCCUAGUGCCGGGGGCCCGCGCAACGGGCCGGACAGGUUUCCCCAUGUCCGUGACGUGUUGGCCGAGGCUCUGCGGCUGCUCCCCGCCCUUGGAGCUGCCAGUCGCUACCCUUUGGACUCCGUGAUCCCUGACAAACGUCAUGAGCAUUGCAAUCCCUCUGGGAGUCACCACACCAGAUACAUCUUAUUCAGAUAUGGCUGCUGGAUCUGACCCAGAGUCUGUGGAAGCUAGUCCAGCUGUCGGUGAGAAAAAUGUGUAUGCAAGUCAUGGCUACGGGGCCUCGCAGAGGCACAGCUACAGAGGGCUGCCUUAUGCAGAUCAUAAUUAUGGAGCCCCUCCUCCUCCGACCCCUCCUGCUUCUCCCCCUGUCCAGACCAUCAUCCCUCGUGCAGAACUAAAUGGCCUACACUCUCACGAUGAGGAGAAUUCUGGGGACACAGAGAGCUCUUCAGAGGCAGAGUCUAUUCCCAGCUGGUGUCACUGCAGUCUCUCCCAAGAUGGCUUCCUCAUCAAAUGUGAGAAGUGCAGCAGAGAGAUCAGCAGAGGAAAAGUGAUCAGACUCCGCCGGCGGAAGCAAGACAACGUGUCAGGUGGAGACAGCAGUGCAACUGAGAGCUGGGACGAGGAGCUCUCUCCCUCCACAGUGUUGUACACUGCUACGCAACAUACUCCCACAAGCAUCACUCUGACAGUCAAUCGGGUCUGUAGAACCAAACCCAAAAAGAGGAAAAGAAAUACAGAGAGAACUCGUACGGCACCAAAGGCCAAAAAAAUCAAGGCUUUUAGAGAAGGUUCGCGGAAAUCUUUGCGGAUGAAGAACUCUCCUUCAGAAGCCCAUGCCCUGGAUGAGAAUACAGCAGAGGGGUGGGAAAAUCGCAUACGGCUCUGGACCGAUCAGUAUGAAGAAGCCUUCACUAACCAAUACAGUGCUGAUGUGCAGAAUCUCCUGGAGCAUCAUCUAAAUGCCAGUAAAGAAUUUGUGGGCAAGUCUGCUGUGCUGGACACAAUCAAUAAGACAGAGCUGUCCUGUAACAACACAGUUAUUGGAUCCCAGAUGCAGCUACAGCUAGGGAGAGUGACACGGGUUCAGAAGCAUCGAAAGAUUCUGAGAGCUGCCAGAGAACUGGCCGUGGAUACCCUUAUAAUUGAGUAUCGUGGGAAAGUGAUGCUACGACAGCAAUUCGAGGUCAAUGGGCACUUCUUCAAAAAGCCGUAUCCCUUUGUACUGUUCUACUCCAAGUUUAACAAUGUUGAGAUGUGUGUGGAUGCUCGGACUUUUGGUAAUGAUGCCAGAUUCAUCAGGCGCUCCUGUGCACCUAACGCAGAGGUUCGUCACAUGAUUGCAGAUGGGAUGAUUCAUCUGUGCAUAUAUGCUGUUACAUCCAUUGCCAAGGAUGCAGAGGUCACCAUUGCCUUUGACUAUGAAUACAAUAUCUGCAACUAUAAAGUGGAUUGUGCCUGUCACAAGGGAAACCGAAAUUGCCCUGUGCAGAAACGGAGCCCAAACACUGUAGAACAGCUACCUCCACCUAUUCUAGACACUCUGAUUGGAGCAGAGACUAGGCGCCGGAAAGCUCGUCGGAAGGAGCUGGAACAACGGGGAGCUGCAUCAGAUGAGAACAGCAAUCCACAGGCAGAGGAAGUCCCUGAGGGACUUGCUGCAGCCAGUGAUAAUGAGGCUGCAGACAAAGAAGAGAAGCAAGAAGAGGAGAAAGAAGCCACUCCAGAUGAGCAGGGAGGUCUCGCUCAGAACAGACGGACCCGAGAAGAUAGGAAGGUAGAAGCUAUCAUGCAUGUGUUUGAGAAUCUGGAAAAAAGAAAGAGAAGGAGAGAUCUACCAUCAGAUCGGAGCAGCACAGAAGCAGAAAUAGUGGUUACUGCAGAGACUCCAGAACCGGAGGAAGUAAAACCUGAGCCAAAUGAACCUAAAAGUUUGGCUUCAGAUGUUUCUGUGCCAAGUGCCCCUUCCAGUGCCACCAGCAUUGGGGUGAACACACGGAGAUCUUCACAGGCUGGGGAGACAUCAGCAGAUAAACCAGUCUCUAAAACAGCACCUGCAAAGCCAACCAGGCCACGACCCAAAAGCCGUUUUUCCCGUUACCGGAGCAGUUCAGCACAGCGGCUAAGAAGGCAAAAGCAAGCCAGUUCUCAACAAUCUGAACUCUCUCAAGUAGCUCCAGAGGAAGGAAACAGCGUGAGCACAGUAAUGGCAGCAGAAGCCAGCAGUGUAGAGGGUGCAGGAGAAGGGAAGCAGCCGAUGGGUUCUGACCCAGCUGUGGCUGCAGUUGCAGGAGUACAGACCAACCGGGCUGCACUCAAGUAUCCCAAAACGAAAAAGUAUCUGGUUACAGAAUGGCUGAAUGACAAAGCAGAAAAGCAGGAGUGCCCCAUUGAGUGUCCUUUACGUAUCACCACUGACCCAACUGUGCUGGCUACCACCCUCAAUAUGUUGCCAGGACUUAUCCACUCUCCACUCAUUUGUACCAUGCCCAAGCACUACAUCCGUUUUGGCUCUCCCUUCACCCCAGAAAGGCGAAGACGGCCAGUUCAGCUGGAUGGGAACUACAACUCAUGUAAAAAGCGUUGGAUGAAGCAAGCUUUGGAAGAAGCGAUGACUCAGACCUCAGCUACUUCCCAAGAGAACAGAACUCAGUGUCUAUACCAAAGUAAUGAGAGCAGUAGCACGUCCGGCAUCUGCAAGGAAAACACAGAUUUCCUGAGCCCCCUGAAGAAGUGGAAGUCUCGCUAUCUAAUGGAGCAGAGUGUUACCAAGUUAUUGAGGCCACUGUCUCCAGUCACUCCCCCGCUUCCCGACCCCUCAGUUCCAGAUGCGCCAAGCCCACACCUCACCACAUCCUCCUCAUCUGUGCCAGGAGAGGAGGAGUGUCGAAGUAGCUGUGGUGUGAUCUUUUCGCCGAUUCCGUCCUUGGCUGCUAGUCGUUGCAAUACUCCACUACAGUUUGAGAACGUAUCCUCCCCUGAGAGUUCCCCUGCGCAUAGGCCCGAGUCCCUGUCGCCCGAGCUGUGCCUCAGGACAGACCUUGACAUACAGAAGGCAGGAUUCCUGGAUGCCAGCGCUAACAACUGCCCAGAGAGACCGUCCUUGCUCACUUCUGACCUGGCAUCCCAGCCCUCGGAGACCAGCUUCCCAGGAAAGAGUGGAGAAGCCCAGGCGCUGCUAAGAAGCUCUGACCUGGCUUUUCGGACAGAGUUUAACUUAAUGUAUGCCUUCUCCCCUUUGAAUGCCAUGCCGCGGACGGAUGGAUUAUUACGAGACUCUCCCCAGAUGACUGAUGGGAAGCCUCUGAAUCCUGACAGGGGCUGCUGCAGUUCUCCUGCAGAGGGAUACUUUGGGAGACAUGAGCAGGCACUUCUGAAAGAGACAGUGCAUGGAUCCCUGCCCCUUUGCAGUGAGAGAACUUGUGAAGGCGUUAAAUCCACCCCCCAGAACCCUCCACAGAGAAAAAAGGUAUCUCUACUGGAGUACCGCAAACGAAAGCAAGAAGCCAAGGAGGGAGGGGAUUCUGCCCGAUGCACAGGGACACCUACCCGACUGGGUGUCAGCUGCUCAGGGGCAGAUGUAGAUGCUGGCAUUAUGCAGGGCUCAGGGGGCCACACACUCUCCUCCCCACAACAUGGUUUCUCCCCCUCGCAUUCUUCCUUGUCUCAUCUAGAGGAAGUCAGCCCACCAGAACCAAGAGGGACCACCCACAGCAAAUCCCAGGAUAGCAUCAGCAGUCGAUGGAUGGUGCCCACUUCAGUGGAGCGGCUGCGAGAAGGCCGUGGCAUUCUGGGAAAGGUUUUACGCAGCAGCGCUAAAAUUUGUCCAAGAGGAGAGCCUUCGCCCACUCGGGAUAGCAUAGGGGAGAGAGAAGCAGAUGCUGUGGAAGGAGACUUGGCAGACCCCCUCAGCUCUUCCCUCAAGGGACCAGCCGUUUAUAGUCCUUCUCGAUACAGCUACCAGCUCUUGCAGUCUGACAGCCCGCGGGCAGAGUCUCAGACCCUCCUUCAGAGCUCUUCCCCAUAUCGAGGACACCCCAUUCCAUCCCCUGGAUAUAGCUACCGGUCUCAGUCCCAGAGAACAGGGCACCUUCCGUCUCUCAGUUCCUCAGAAUCUUCCCUUUCCUCCACCUCCUCGGUCUCCACGGACUCCUCAGCUCUGUUUGCAGGGAACUCUGGGUAUCAUAGCAGCCAGCACCAUCCAGGCAGUGGUGUCCUGAAGAAGAGCUGUCCUUCAGCCACUGCUCCCUGUCCUGCCCAGACAGCUGCCGCAGACUGUUUGCCCUCCUCUGAAUCAGGGUCUCAUCCCUGCUCAGGAACUGAUGGCUGCGCUUCUUUGUCAUCUAGGCCCUCACAGUCAGACUUGCGGACUAUCAACCCUCCCAGCUCUGGACAACCUGCGCUUUAUCAGAGCUCCAGAACCGCAGCACUUUCCAACUCGCAGCACUACUCCCACCGAGGGGGAGGAGGCGGCGUCCAUCAAUACAGACUGCAGCAACUUGCAGGGUCAGGCGUAAAGACUCAGACAGGCCUUUCGUAGGGGAGGACAAAAUAGCUCACUGUUCCUUCUGGCAGCAGCUCAUGGGGGAACGAUGCUGGAAUGGCAAAGAGCCCAGAAGCUGGAGCUUUGGGAUGUACAAGCACGAGAGAGCACUGCCACCCACCCCUGGUUUUGGAAGGAGGAGGCGGCGGCAGUGGUGGCGGCAGAGCCUGUAGCAAAGCUUCUCCCCGAUGCCUGGGCACAUUGUAGAAAGCAAAUGGUGCUGAGUGGUAUGGCCUCUGUCUCCUACCUUUGCCCUUAGCUGUAGUCACCUGGGCAGGGGAGACUUCUAAAAUUAUCAAAGCAGAGAGGAAGAAUAAACUUGCCUCAAAAGUGUCUGGCGUGUUGGGGAUGGAACUUGUCACC